AACGAACGCUGGCGGCAUGCCUAACACAUGCAAGUCGAACGAGACCUUCGGGUCUAGUGGCGCACGGGUGCGUAACGCGUGGGAACCUGCCCUUAGGUUCGGAAUAACUCCCCGAAAGGGGUGCUAAUACCGGAUAAUGUCUUCGGACCAAAGAUUUAUCGCCUUUGGAUGGGCCCGCGUUGGAUUAGCUAGUUGGUAGGGUAAAAGCCUACCAAGGCGACGAUCCGUAGAUGGUCUGAGAGGAUGAUCAGCCACACUGGGACUGAGACACGGCCCAGACUCCUACGGGAGGCAGCAGUGGGGAAUAUUGGACAAUGGGCGAAAGCCUGAUCCAGCAAUGCCGCGUGAGUGAUGAAGGCCUUAGGGUUGUAAAGCUCUUUUACCCGGGAUGUUAAUGACAGUACCGGGAGAAUAAGCUCCGGCUAACUCCGUG
rnacentral:rRNA from 1 species